rnacentral:rRNA from 1 species
UACGUAGGGGGCGAGCGUUUGUCCGGAUUCAUUGGGCGUAAAGAGCUCGUAGGCGGUUCAGUAAGUCGGGUGUGAAAUCUCCGUGCUCAACACGGAGCGGCCACCUGAUACUGCUGUGACUCGAGUCCGGUAGGGAGUGUGGAAUUCCCGGUGUAGCGGUGAAAUGCGCAGAUAUCGGGAGGAACACCAGUAGCGAAGGCGGCACUCUGGGCCGUGACUGACGCUGAGGAGCGAAAGCGUGGGUAGCAAACAGG